AAAUGAACCACAUGAUUCACUCCAUGAAACUUCUGGAUCUCCUUUAUAUGCUAAAUACAUCACCUCCGUCGAUACAGCUCCAGCAGCCAGUAUUGCAUAUGUCAAUAACUACAAAACACAAGUGAAAGCACAGCAGAUUGAUAUCACAAAAGCGGAACCUGAUCAAGGAGGAAGAAAGUCCAGGCUCUAGACAUCGUUAUGGGACGAGGUACGACUGCUACAAUUGCUGAUAAAAGUGAAUAACCUGCACAAAUUCCAUUUGCAUGUACUAAAUACCUGCAGUAGAUUCAAAGGUUAAUUUUCCCCCAAAAUUCACAAAUUUCUUCAAUAAGUUCACAACUAAAACUCAAUUUCCACAAUUUUCAAAUCAAUAACAAGAGAAUUUAAGCUCUAUGCAUUCACAGUCUUAAAAAUAGUUACAUAAUCAGAUCACUAGUAAAGUAAUUUCAAGUAAAUCAUAAUGAUAAAGUUUAGUAAUAUUCCAAUUCACCCACUAUUACAAGGAGAAUCAUUGUUAGAUCCUUUUUCUCCUUAUUAUAAUAUGCUUAAAAUUCUCUCAAAUUAUCACACUAUUUUAUUUUCCGCAUAAAGUCAAGAAUCUCUCGAAAAUAGCUUAUCUGUCUCUAUGAAAUAGUAGUAAAAUCGGUGUGUAUAUCAAUCUCUCCGGACCUGGGUUAUAGAAUUUCACUGGAUAUGAACUCAAGGGUAGUUCCGUCUAAUUUAGGGCUGGCCAAUGUCCAACAACACUAGGCCACAUGUAAUAUUAAUGUCAUAAAUAAAUACUAUUUCAACCAUAAACGAUGCCAACCAGGAAUCGACAGAAGAGGAAGACGAAAAAAAAAAGAAGAUAAAUUACCUAAAGGUUCCAAGAUCAGAGUAAGUAAUGGAACCA